rnacentral:lncRNA from 7 species
AGGACUUCAUUUGUACAGUCCUGUGAUGGGCAUGGAUAAACAUAGCGAUCGGAUUACAGCACAAGUGGAAUAGGAAGCUUAAAAUCAAAUUUGGCAGAGCUUACAAGGGCAGCGAACGUGGAGCCACUUGACUCUGGAGAAAGGCAGCGACAGUGCGCAGCUCUGAAGCUCUCCAGUUGCUACCUGAAAGGUUGGAAGUGUUUCCUUCCUUCUGAAUGCGUGUGAAAAUAUACGUGUGACCCUACCUACGUGUUCAAUGGUCUCUCAUGUUCCGUGCAGAGAUUUUCCUGCCUCUCUGGGAGGAACACACAGGAGAGUUUGCAGUGCAGUUUGUGUUCACUGGGCUUCAGGUUUCUAAAAGAGAGCUAAGAAGGCAGGUGAUGUGGGAUGGGCAGGGCCAUUGCUGCCCCAAAGUGUUCAGAUGUGUUGUGACCUCCGGAAGGGGAAUUUUUAGAGCAACUGAAGUUAGAAAUCUGGGAUCAGUUUGGAUGUUUGAAAGUCACAGCAACAACCAUUUGUAAGAGCGUAUCAUGCUCAGUAGUAAGACUGCAUAAGGGCACAGGAUGAAGCAUCUGAUUUUUUUUUUUCCCUUUUGGCAUUCUGUUUGCGACAAUUACAUGGCUCUCUAUUAACUGUGCGUGGAAGAAAGCAGUGUUAUGAAAUGAGGAGAGAUUUCCUUCAUCUGUUACUCUGUAGGUAAUUUUUGUGCUUUUUCCAGUAUUUAAGUACCUCUUAACUGCUUGCUGUCCAUCUGUAUACCAUUCAUAGUACUGUAAACUAGUAUAUGUAGCCUGACCUUGUAACUUGCUUUGUUUGUGCAUCUGCCAGUGCAAUAUGUUGUCUUUCCUUAAAAUGCAAAUAUGCUCCACGCAGUACAGAGCUCCUUAGUCAAUAAAUAAAUGGAGGUAAAAAACUGUACCUAAUACCCAUUUAAUUUAAAUUCAUUUUAUAAACAUAAAGACGCCUUUUAAGAGAAGCUUUAAUUCAGACUAGCACCUUGAUUUGUGGUUGCCAUGGAGAAUCAAAUCUGUCAUUUGACAAGAAAAGUCACCCAUUUAUGACAGCACUUUAUCUUGUCUCUCCAGGGGAAGAAAAUGUCAAAAGUGAGAGCAGAAAAAAAUAAAGCCUUGAAAC